rnacentral:rRNA from 1 species
CAGCAGCCACGGUAAUACGUAGGAGGCAAGCGUUGUCCGGAAUUAUUGGGCGUAAAGGGCUCGCAGGCGGUUUCUUAAGUCUGAUGUGAAAGCCCCCGGCUCAACCGGGGAGGGUCAUUGGAAACUGGGAAACUUGAGUGCAGAAGAGGAGAGUGGAAUUCCACGUGUAGCGGUGAAAUGCGUAGAGAUGUGGAGGAACACCAGUGGCGAAGGCGACUCUCUGGUCUGUAACUGACGCUGAGGAGCGAAAGCGUGGGGAGCGAACAGGAUUAGAUACCCGUGUAGUCCCUGUCUCUUAUAC